rnacentral:rRNA from 1 species
CAGAGACUGCAAGCGUUAUUCGGAUUCACUGGGCGUAAAGGGUGCGCAGGCGGUUGGGUGUGUCAGAUGUGAAAUCCCGAGGCUCAACCUCGGAACUGCGUCUGAAACUACUCGACUAGAGUACUGGAGAGGGUAACGGAAUUCACGGUGUAGCAGUGAAAUGCGUAGAUAUCGUGAGGAACACCAGAGGCGAAGGCGGUUACCUGGACAGUUACUGACGCUCAGGCACGAAAGCAUGGGGAGCAAAAGGGAUUAGAUACCCCUGUAGUCCAUGCCCUAAACGGUGCACACUAGGUCUUAGCAGAUUCGACCCCACUAGGGCCCAAGCUAACGCGUUAAGUGUGCCGCCUGAGGACUACGGUCGCAAGACUA